rnacentral:rRNA from 1 species
UACGAAGGGGGCUAGCGUUGUUCGGAUUUACUGGGCGUAAAGCGCACGUAGGCGGAUCGAUUAGUCAGGGGUGAAAUCCCAGGGCUCAACCCUGGAACUGCCUUUGAUACUGUCGAUCUGGAGUAUGGAAGAGGUGAGUGGAAUUCCGAGUGUAGAGGUGAAAUUCGUAGAUAUUCGGAGGAACACCAGUGGCGAAGGCGGCUCACUGGUCCAUUACUGACGCUGAGGUGCGAAAGCGUGGGGAGCAAACAGG